AUUGAACGCUGGCGGCAGGCCUAACACAUGCAAGUCGAGCGAGCGGCGGACGGGUGAGUAAUGUAUGGGGAUCUGCCCGAUAGCGGGGGAUAACUACUGGAAACGGUGGCUAAUACCGCAUAAUAUCGGAUGAACCCAUAUGGGAUUAGCUAGUGGGUGGGGUAAAGGCUCACCUAGGCGCAGAUCGCUAGCUGGUCUGAGAGGAUGAUCAGCCACACUGGGACUGAGACACGGCCCAGACUCCUACGGGAGGCAGCAGUGGGGAAUAUUGCACAAUGGUCGCAAGCCUGAUGCAGCCAUGCCGCGUGGAUGAAGAAGGCCUUAGGGUUGGAAAGUACUUUCAGCGGGGAGGCGUUACUCGCAGAAGAAGCACCGGCUAACUCCGUGCCAGCAGCCGCGGUAAUAC
rnacentral:rRNA from 1 species